UACGUAGGGGGCAAGCGUUGUCCGGAAUCAUUGGGCGUAAAGAGCGCGUAGGCGGCCCUGUAAGUCCGCUGUGAAAGCCCCCCAGCUCAACUGGGGAAGUGCCUCUGAUACUGGCGGCCUCGAGGGAGGUAGGAGCGUGCGGAACUUCCGGUGGAGCGGUGAAAUGCGUAGAUAUCGGGAGGAACACCUGGAGGCGAAGGGUCGGGUUGACUGGGCUGAUACUGACGCUGAUGACGGC
rnacentral:rRNA from 1 species